ACUACGUGGUGCUGCAGUGGGGGAUAUUGCACAAUGGGGGGAACCCUGAUGCAGCGACGCCGCGUGGGUGAAGAAGCGCCUCGGCGCGUAAAGCCCUGUCAGCAGGGAAGAAAAUGACGGUACCUGAAGAAGAAGCCCCGGCUAACUACGUGCCAGCAGCCGCGGGAAUACGUAGGGGGCAAGCGUUAUCCGGAUUUACUGGGUGUAAAGGGGGCGCAGACGGCGAUGCAAGCCAGGAGUGAAAGCCCGGGGCCCAACCCCGGGACUGCUCUUGGAACUGCGGGGCUGGAGUGCAGGAGGGGCAGGCGGAAUUCCUGGUGUAGCGGUGUAAUGCGUAGAUAUCAGGAGGAACACCGGUGGCGAAGGCGGCCUGCUGGACUGCAACUGACGUUGAGGCCCGAAAGCGUGGGGAGCAAACAGGAUUAGAUACCCCAGUAGUC
rnacentral:rRNA from 1 species